rnacentral:rRNA from 1 species
GAUGAACGCUAGCGGUAGGCCUAACACAUGCAAGUCGAACGGUAACAUGAGAGCUUGCUCUUGAUGACGAGUGGCGAACGGGUGCGUAACACGUAUACAAUCUACCUUUAACUGAGGGAUAGCCCAGAGAAAUUUGGAUUAAUACCUCAUAGUAUUAUUUUAAGGCAUCUUUUUAUAAUUAAAACUCCGGUGGUUAAAGAUGAGUAUGCGUUCUAUUAGUUAGUUGGUGAGGUAACGGCUCACCAAGACUACGAUAGAUAGGGGGCCUGAGAGGGUGAUCCCCCACACUGGUUGUGAGACACGGACCAGACUCCUACGGGAGGCAGCAGUGAGGAAUAUUGCGCAAUGGAGGAAACUCUGACGCAGCCAUGCCGCGUGCAGGAAGACUGCCCUAUGGGUUGUAAACUGCUUUUAUAUAGGAAGAACUACAGCUACGUGUAGCUGUUUGACGGUACUAUACGAAUAAGGACCGGCUAAC